rnacentral:rRNA from 1 species
GAUGAACGCUCGCGGCAGGCCUAAUACAUGCAAGUCGAACGGGAUCCAGAUCAAAGCUUGCUUUGGUUUGGUGAGAGUGGCGUACGGGUGCGUAACGCGUGAGCAACCUACCCUUGUCAGGGGGAUAGCCCGGCGAAAGUCGGAUUAAUACCGCAUGACAUCAUUGAGAGGCAUCUUUCGAUGAUCAAAGAUUUAUCGGACAAGGAUGGGCUCGCGUGACAUUAGCUAGUUGGUAAGGUAACGGCUUACCAAGGCUACGAUGUCUAGGGGCUCUGAGAGGAGAAUCCCCCACACUGGUACUGAGACACGGACCAGACUCCUACGGGAGGCAGCAGUAAGGAAUAUUGGUCAAUGGACGGAAGUCUGAACCAGCCAUGCCGCGUGCAGGAAGACGGCCCUAUGGGUUGUAAACUGCUUUUAUACGGGAACAAACGUCGGUACGUGUACCGGUCUGAGUGUACCGUAAGAAUAAGGAUCGGCUAACUCCGUG